UAUUCUCAACCAUAUAGGUUUUUACAACUUGUAUGGCUUGGAUUAUGGGAUUUUGCGGGCUUUCAUUAGUCGGCUGUCCUUAAAUAUAUUAGCAGAGCUUUUGUUGCCAAUCUCUGGUGUGAUAAUUAUCUACGCCGUUGAGAAGUGACUUUAUUGAAGUGCUGCUUCUAAUCGUCUUCACAGACAACUUUUGACA
rnacentral:misc_RNA from 1 species